ACAUGCUGCAGGUGCGGCUCUAAAAAGGAAAAAAAAAAAAAAUCCAUUGUUUAUCUGAAAUUCAAAUUUCACUACUGUCCUGAUUUUUGUCUUCUAAAUGUGGUACCUUCUCUCCCUGGAAUGGGUGGGGCACUUAGAUGGUGCCUAGAAGGAGGUGCCAUUUGAGCUGAAACUCGAUUGAGCAGACCAGCGGCCAGAGGGAACAGCAAAGCAUUGGAUGUAUUUGAGGCAUGAAAGGCAGGCUGGUGGGGCUACAGGUCUUUGGGCACAGGGGGGAGGGAUGGGGAGGCAGGCAGAGGGCCGGACAGGGGCCAAACCUUGGAUUAUAGGGCCUCUGAGGCUCAGGAUGGAGUUUGGACCUUUUCUUCUAAGGAGAAAGGGGAGCUAUGGAUUGUUUUGAAGAGGGGGAGUGAUGAAAUGGGAUGGGGGGGUGGGAGAGAGGGAGAGCAGGCAGCCCUGUUGGGAGCCCAUUCCAGUUGCCCAGGCCAGCGAGGAGCAGCCUGGAUUGGGGCCACGUGUCGGUUUGGGUCUGUGGGAAGCGGUUCCAGGGAUGGAGUUGGGAAGGCACGCCUUUAGUUGGGGUGGAAUGCCUGCGGGAGGUAAAGGGCGGGGCAGGGAGUGCCUCACACCUACUGACCCUGAGGCUGCAAAGUGGGCCGGCCCAGGUGGAUGGGCAGGUGCGUCUUCCCUGGUACCCAGCCUGAGGAGGGGGCUGAGGCAGGCAGGGACCAAGGCCGAUUCUCACCCCCACCCCCACCCCCACCCCAUUAGCCAUCCACUAAGAUGGGAGAGGCACCCCGAAGGUGGGAGAGAGUUGUAUGAAUCUUACAAGUGGAGCGGACCUCGGGUGGCCUGUGAUGCUGAGCGCAGUGGAUGCCCCCAGCCGGGUUCUGUGACUGGCACAGACCAGGCAAUCGCGGAGCGGGAGGGAGUGAGGACAGGAGACUGGAGACACAGAUCCUGGGGAGCAGGGUUCCCAGAGAGCAGGCGGGGCGGUGCCUCAGACUGAGCCAGGGUACUCCCACAUGGGUGAUGAAUCCCCUCCCCCGCUCCGGGCUCCCAGGCGCAGGACUGCAGCUCUGAGCCAAGGCCAGGUUGCGGCAGGAGGAGCCUGCAGGCCGCCCAGCCCCGUGGCCCCUGCCCUGGGAGGAAGUGCCGCGAAUAAACACUGCCUAACCGUCCAGCGCAGCGGGUCUGUCACACUCCUGCCGCCGACCAGAUCUCAGCCGCCAGGCUCUCCCGCCCCCCGCCGGGCCAGCAGGCUUUCUGAGGAUGAGGGUGAGAGACCUUCGCCUCCGGGGGCGAUGCGUGCGAGGAAUCCUCACGUCUCUCUUCCUCCUGGGCUGCUGGGGGCUCUCCCGUUUCCCGCAGCUAUUUCUUCAGGCUUUGGAGCCGGAGGAAGUGACUGCUUACCUUGGCCCUGCUGCCGCCUUGGAAGGACCCUCGCCGUCAGCCUCGCCACCCACCUCGCCAGGCCGCCCUCCUGCCCGGCGCCUCUGGAGACGGGCUGCUGGGAGCGUCCUGCACCUGGAGCUGCUGGUGGCCGUGGGUCCCGAUGUCCAGCAGGCUCACCAGGAGGACACGGAGCGCUACGUGCUCACCAACCUCAACAUGGGGUCAGAGCUGCUGAGGGACCCGUCCCUGGGGGCUCAGUUCCGCGUGCACCUGGUGAAGAUGGUUAUUCUGACACAGCCUCAGGAUGCUCCGAAUAUCACAGCCAACAUCACCGCAUCCCUGCGGAGCGUCUGUGAGUGGAGCAGGACGGUCAAUCCCGAGGAUGACGCAGAUCCCAGCCACGCCGACCUCGUCCUUUACAUCACCAGGUUUGACCUGGAAUUGCCCGAUGGUAACCGGCAGGUUCGGGGGGUCACCCAGCUGGGGGGUGCCUGCUCCUCCUCUUGGAGCUGCCUUAUCACAGAGGAUACUGGCUUCGACCUGGGGGUCACCAUCGCCCACGAAAUUGGGCACAGCUUCGGCCUGGAGCACGACGGUGCGCCCGGCAGCGACUGCGAGGCCAGCGGCCACGUGAUGGCGUCCGACGGCGCCGCGCCCGCCCGAGGGGGCCCCACGUGGUCCCCCUGCAGCCGCCGGCAGCUGCAGCGCAUGCUCAGCGCAGGACGCCCGCACUGCGUGUGGGACCCGCCGGGGCCGCAGUCCUGGGCCGCGGGCCGCCCUCCCGAAGCGCACCCUGGCCUCUACUACGGCGCCGACGAGCAGUGCCGCGUCGCCUUCGGCCCUACGGCGGUGGCCUGCACCUUCGCCAGGGAGCAGCUGGACAUGUGCCAGGCUCUCUCCUGUCACACAGACCCCCUGGACCAGAGCAGCUGUAGCCGCCUCCUCAUUCCUCUCCUGGAUGGGACAGAGUGUGGCGUGGGGAAGUGGUGCUCCAAGGGUCACUGCCGCUCCCUGGCGGAGCUGGCCCCCGUGGGGGCAGUGCACGGGGGCUGGUCUAGCUGGGGGCCCGCCAGUCCUUGCUCCCGCUCCUGCGGAGGAGGCGUGGUCACCAGGAGGCGCCAGUGCAACAACCCCAGACCUGCCUUUGGGGGGCGCUCGUGCGUAGGUGCUGACCUCCAGGCUGAGAUGUGCAACACCCAGGCCUGCGAGAAGACCCAGCUGGAGUUCAUGUCCCAGCAGUGCGCACAGACCGACGGGGAGCCUCUGCGCCUCUCCCCGGGCAGCACCUCCUUCUAUCACUGGGGCGCCGCCGCGCAGUACAGCCAAGGGGACACUCUGUGCAGACACAUGUGCUGGGCGGUUGGCGAGAGCUUCAUUGUGCGGCGUGGGGACAGGUUCCUGGACGGGACUCGGUGUGUGCCCGGCGGCCCCCGACAGGACGGGACCCUGAGCCUGUGCGUGUCAGGCAGCUGCAGGACGUUCGGCUGUGACGGCAGGAUGGAUUCCGGGCAGGUGCCAGACAUGUGCCAGGUGUGCGGCGGGGACAACAGCACGUGCAGGCCACAGAACGGCUCUUUCACGGCUGGAAGGGCCAGAGAGUAUGUCACCUUCCUGACUGUCACCCCCAACCUGACCAACAUCCAUGUCAUCAACCACAGGCCUCUCUUCACGCACCUGGCUGUGCGGAUCCGCGGGCGCUACGUCGUGGCUGGAAAUGCCAGCAUCUCUCCCAGCAUCACCUACCCCUCCCUCCUGGAGGACAGCCGUGUCGAGUACAGAGUGGCCCUGACUGAGGACCGGCUGCCCCACCGGGAGGAGCUCCGCAUCCGGGGACCCACCCAGGAGGACCUGGAGAUCCAGGUUUACAGGCGCUACGGCCAGGAGUACGGCCGCCUCGCCCGCCCAGACAUCACCUUCACCUACUUCCAGCCUGAGCAGCAGCAGGCCUGGGCGUGGGCUCCUGUGCGGGGGGCCUGCUCGGUGAGCUGUGGGGCAGGGCUGCGUCAGGUGACCUACAGCUGUUGGGACCAGGCCAGGAAUGCAUGGGUGGAGGCUGCCCUGUGUGCAGGGAGCCGGCGGCCGGCGGCGUGGUCCGAGUCCUGCACCCCUGCUCCCUGCCCCCCAUUCUGGGCAGUUGGAGACUUCGGCCCGUGCAGCGCUUCCUGCGGGGGAGGCCUGCAGGAGCGGGCGGUGCGCUGUGUGGAGGCCCAGGGUGGCCUCCUAAGGACGUUGCCCCGCUUGCGGUGCAGAGCGCUGGCCCAGCAACCUGCGGCCGUGGAGACCUGCAACGCACAGCCCUGCCCCACGAGAGAGACAUCGGACACCUGCCCGUCAGCCUGUGGAGCAGAACUGGCCGUGCAGAAUGUGACGUGUGUGCAGGGGGCAGAGGGCAUGGGGGCGCUGGCCACUGCUGGGCCCUGCCCCACAGACCAGAAGCCAUCUGCCCUAGAGCCAUGUAUCGAGGUGACGUGUCCUCCAGGCUGGGGCCAUCUGGAGGCCCAGUCUCCAGGCGAAGAGGCUGUGUCCCCAGCGGGCAGUGCCAGGCUGGAGGUUCAGGCCGCACACGUGUGGACUCCCCUGACGGGGCCGUGCUCCGUCUCCUGUGGUCAAGGCCUGAUGGAGCUGUAUUUCGUGUGCGUGGACUCUGCCCUCGGGACCCCGGUCCAGGAAGAGAUGUGUGACCUGGCAGCCAGGCCUGGGAGGCGGCAGGAGGUCUGCCAGGCUGCCCCGUGCCCGGCAUGGUGGGAGACCCGAGCCCUGGCCCCGUGCCCGGUGACCUGCGGAGGUGGGCAGGUGCCGCUGGCUGUUCGCUGUGUGCGGAUGGACCGCGGCCGCCUUGUCCCCCUGCCUCAUGCCAAGUGCUGGCCGCUGCCCCGGCCCAGGCCCUUUGAGGACUGCAGCCCCGAGCCCUGCCCUGCCAGGUGGCGGUACAAGCUGGCGGCCUGCAGCGUGAGCUGUGGCGGGGGGGUGGUGCAGAGGAUCCUGUAUUGUGCCCGGGCCCACGGAGAGGACAAGGACGAGGAGAUCCUGCCGGAUACCCAGUGCGAGGGGCUGCCUCGCCCAGAGCAGCAGGAGGCCUGCAGCCCGGAGCCCUGCCCGCCCAGGUGGAAAGUCACAUCCCUUGGCCUGUGUUCGGCCAGCUGUGGUCUUGGCACUGCCACACGCUCGGUAGCCUGUGUGCAGCUGGACCAAGGCCGGGACACGGAGGUGGAUGGGGCAGCUUGUGCGGGUCUGGUGCGGCCACAGGCCAGCAUCCCCUGCGUUGUUGCCGACUGCGCCUUCCGGUGGCAUGUCGGCGCCUGGAUGCAGUGCUCUGUCUCCUGUGGGGAUGGCAUCCAGCGCCGGCACGACGCCUGCCUCGGACCCCAGGCCCAGGUGCCUGUGCCAGCCGUCUUCUGCCAGCACUUGCCCAAGCCAGUGACCGUGCAGGGCUGCUGGGCCGGGCCCUGUGCAGGCCAAAGGACGCCCAGCCCCGCAUCUCUCGAGGAAGCCACUGCUCCCAGCCAGACCACAGCUGCCACUGCUGGUGCUUCCCCGGCGUGGCCCCAGCGUGGGGACCGCCUCCUCUCCCUGCAUCCCCAGGAGGGCCCAGCGGAGUCCAGUUAUGCUUCUCCCUCCUUUCUGUCCGGGCGGGUGACUGGCUUUGAGGGGGGGUGGGCCGAGGCACCGAUCCCUGGGAUAUCUGGGAUGUGCUCCUCCCGGGGGUCUGCUGAGAGUGGCUGCGGCUCUCGGGAUGCUGGGAUGCGUGGGGCUGGGCUCGGGGCAGGCCCUCUUCCCCAUGGGGAAACUGCCUGCUCACUUUGAUUUCAUCAUGGGAAGGUAGCUUGAAGGUUUCACAGAGUCGGAAUCCUGGCCUCUGUGACCCACUGUCCACACCGCCUCCCUCUUGCUGGAGCAUCAGGGGCGGCUCUGUGCCUUAGGUGAUGAUGCUGGGACCCACGCAGCCUUCUCCUUGCCUGAGGCUUCCGGCAGGGUCUGGGGGGGCUAUAGGAGGACCCUAGCCACCCCAGCCUUGAAUUCUUCUUGCCCAGCUUGGAAAGCCCCCCACACUGCCUUGCUGGGGGGACACUCUUGCUCACCUGCCCUCCCGCACCCUUUCCAGGUGCCUGUGGCCAGCAGUACCUUGAACCGACAGGAACCAUUGACAUGCGAGGCCCAGAACAGGCUGACUGUGCAGUAGUCAUUGGGCGGCCCCUGGGGGAGGUGGUGACUCUGCGAGUCCUUGAGAGCUCCCUCAACUGCAGCGCUGGGGAGAUGCUGCUGCUUUGGGGCAGGCUCACAUGGAGGAAGAAGUGCGAGAGACUGUCUGGCAUGACUUUCAGCACCAAAGCCAACACGCUGAUGGUGAGGCAGCGUCUCGUGCAGCUGGGAGGCGGGGUGCUGCUGCGAUAUUCAAGCCAGCCUGCCCCUGGAACCUUCCACCGAGAGUGUGACAUGCAGCUCUUUGGACCCAGGGGUGAAAUCGUGAGCCCAUCAACGAGCCCAGAUGGAAGGCAUGUGGGGGGCUGCCGCAUCUUCAUUAGCGUGGCUCCCCGGGCCCGCAUCGCCAUCCACGCCCUGGUCACAGACGCGGCCACCGGAACCGAUGGCACCGAUGCCAGCUACGUCUUGAUCCGGGACAUCCACAGCCUGAGGACAACGGCAUUUCAUGGGCAGCAGACGCUCUACUGGGAGUCAGAGGGCAGCCAGGCAGAGAUGGAGUUUAGUCAGGGCUUCCUGGACGCCCACACCAGCCUGCGGGGCCAGUACUGGACCCUCCAGAAAGGAGUUCAUUAGCCCAGCAGUGCCCUGCCUUAGCGCCCUCCAAAAGCCCAUCCCACAGUUGACCAGUGGGCACAGUCCUGGAAGGAAGGGGAGGAACCCGACAUCUGUGAUCAUCCCCUGUUAGGUGCCUGGCCAGCCCUGGAGGGGUAACUCUGGUGUCUGAGCCCUUUCCAAUUCGAAUUCCCUCCAAUCUUAAGUAUUUCCUUUAUGGCCUCCUCCAACGCGCAAAAUGCUGCGGGGUGGGAGGGGGGACUCCAGAAAGGCAGCCCCCAGGCCCUCGGUACCAAUAAACAGAAGGUGCGGUCUGAGUGGCGUUUUCCUUACUUAACCUGUCCAAAUGUGGCUAGAAAACCCACCCCACGGCAGGCCGGGGAUUCCCUGGCCACGGCUGGGCUCCAGACCUAGCCCACAUCUGAGCAAACCCCUGGCCGCCCCUAGCGAUCGCCUUCCUACCCAGCGAGGGGAGGCGAGGUUGUCGGAGUCACAACCGGGCCCUGAGGCUGGCGCACCUGUUAAUUCUCGGCGGGGUCCCGCCCCUACGCUAGUCGGGGUGGGAGUAUUUGACGGCCCCGGAGUCUCGCGGCGCCAGGACCCGCCCCCUAUGCUAAUAAGCACGAGCCCCUCGGGCGCACGCUGUCCGAGGCCCUGUGGGCCCCGCCCCCAAGCUGAGAACUGGGGCUCCUUCGGGCACACCUAGCCGCGGCCCCACCUCUAUGCUAAUGAGCCCGAGCCUCGGGGCGAACUUCGCCCGACCCCCGAGAGCCCCGCCCCCUAUGCUAAUAAGAGGCCGCCUCUCCCACAAGGCAGCGCGCCGGGACGACGCGGCCGGCUCCGGAGCCCUUUGUGAGGGCGGCGGGCAUCGCCGGACGGCGGCACCAUGAGCGGCUCAAGCGGAGCGGCGGUAGCGUCCGUGAACUCGGCGCCGCCCGCACAGGAGGAGGGCAUGACAUGGUGGUACCGCUGGCUGUGUCGCCUGUCGGGGGUGUUAGGGGCUGUCUGUGAGUAUCCGGCCCGGGGGAGGGGCCGAGGGGGCAGGCUCCACCGCAAGCUGCGCAUGCGCGCCGGCUCCCCCCCCCGCCCCGCCCCGCCCUGCCCGGAAAGUGGUCCUGGUUGGGGUCAGGCACUGCUGCCACGCGCUGGGCAGGGGAGAGGCUGGGGCGGCGGAAAGCGCACGCUUCUACGGUUGCCAUAGUUACCGGCCCGCAGCCUGGGCUCCCGGGUCCGGGGCUGCCUGGUAGCGCUAGAGUCGUUCUCCGGGGGCGGGGGAUGGGGGGAAUGGGGCGGUGACCGCCCCCCCGGCGGGGAGCGGUGGACUCCACGCGGCCAAGUCACUGCCUCUCUACGGCUUCUCCGAGCGUGAGGGCAGGGUGGCACCUCCUCCGGAGGCCUUCUGAGAUUUCCCAGAUGCUCGUUAUAAAGCUCCGGCUCAGCCCGGCCUGGAGGCCACCCCACCUGUUGACGCUGAUGUGGGCCGCGGCCGCCUUAACUUUUGGGCGAAGGUUGUUUCUUGUGCCAUCUCCGGCCUCUUCAACUGCAUCACCAUCCACCCUCUGAACAUCGCGGCCGGUGUGUGGAUGAUCAUGAACGCGUUCAUCCUGCUGCUCUGCGAGGCGCCCUUCUGCUGCCAGUUCGUUGAGUUCGCAAACACGGUGGCGGAGAAGGUGGACCGGCUGCGCUCCUGGCAGAAGGCCGUCUUCUACUGCGGGAUGGCCGUGGUUCCCGUCGUCAUCAGCCUCACCCUGACCACGCUGCUGGGCAACGCCAUCGCCUUCGCCACCGGAGUGCUCUACGGACUCUCUGCUCUGGGCAAAAAGGGCGACGCAAUCUCCUACGCCAGGAUCCAGCAGCAGAAGCAGCAGGCUGACGAGGAGAAGCUCACGGCCACGCUGGAGGGGGAGCUGUGAUGUGGGUAGGGGGCACGACCCUGAGGGACAGCCCGGAAGAGGAGCCUGUGCCUGGCUCGCAGUCCCCCUCACCUGUCCCCACCCCGGAGUCCUCUUCUGUCUGCUUCGCCCCCAGGGUGAGGGCUCUGGGGCGGUGGGGCCGGCAGCCGGGGCCUCGGGUGACCCAGAGCAGAGCCUGCGCGGCCCUGCAGACAGCUCACCUGACCCUGUCUUCCCAGCCGCCUGGGUGGAUGUCAGACGUACAUGCUGGCAGGACCACUGGAGUCCUGCUGAGGGCCAGGAAGGAGCUGCUUCUGGUCCUGUCUCGAGGUGGGAGGCCCAGCAGCCCAGGCCUGGGCAUCGGCCACAGGGGCCUCCACUCAGCUCUCAGGCCCGUGGGCAUCCUGGAAGCUGGGCCGCCUCUGUCCUCCCGUCCUCAGGGCCCCCCUGCUGCCCAGGGCCCCUGCCACUGUCCUCCGUGCGAGCCACGGUGCUCCCCACAGGCCCCUCAAGUGCCCACGAUGGCAGCCUUGGCAGUGACGCAACUGCUGGUGGGGGCAUCCCCCCACUUCCCUGGGGCCUUGGACCAGCGCAGAACCAGAGCACUUCCUGUGGGCCCACUGGUCCCCAGCGUCUCCCCGCCCCAGACCUGGUGCUGAGGAAGUGGGCAGGGCAGGGCUGCCCGCAGGGACCUGCCUGUCUUUCAGGAGCCGGGCAGAGCCUGGAGCUGCCCUGCCAUCCCUUCCUCCCGCCUCUGCCCACCAGCCACUCUGGCCAGACUGGACUUCAGAGGGGCCCGGGCAGCCCAGGGCAGAGGUGAGCCCACGUGGAGAUGCUUGGUCUGGGUCUUAGCCGCUGCUCCUCCCAGGACCGCAGGCUGGGCCUGCUCACUUGGCUUCUGGAUGGACUUCGCAUCUCUGGCGUGUGUCAGUGUUGGGGCUGGGAAGGCAGGCGCUGGCCAGGGGACAGCAGCGUCCCCCAGCGGCUCUCCAGGGAGCCCGAGCAGGCUGAGCCCUGGGUGGUGGGGGUGGGGCACGUGCCUUCAGGGGUCCUCCGGGCCCACCUUCCUCAGGCCAGUGCUGUGAUGAAAGGGCUGUGGGCCACAGGCCUCUCCAGGCCGGCGGGGCGUGUGCGUGCGUGUGCGUCUUCUCCUGCGUGUGCUGUGAAUAAGACCUGUCUACCUCGCCGGAGGAGCGAGGGCCCUGCCCGCCCCUCUUGGCUCAUUCUUCCCCAGGAAGUGGCCCUCUGGGGUCGCUCCUGCCCCUGCCUUCGGGGCCUUGCUGGCAGGGGUCUCCUUGCUGCAGAAGGGCUGGCUGUGUUUCUGGGAAGCUGGGCGGGCAGUGGGUGGGCUCUCUACCCCCUUGGUCACUGGCCUGGGUGGGCAGGUCGCUUGCGGAGGUUCCCGGAGCUGUGAUCCUGUCUCCCAGAGGGGGUGGGGGGCCACCAUGCAGGGUGGCGGAGGGUGGGGGGGUACGCCCACCUUUGGGUCUAGGCUCUGUCCUCUUGUGGUCUGUGUUCACUCUCAGCAUCAGCUCGCAUUUUCAGCAAUAAAGCCUGGUGGUGGCUUGCA